UUGCUUUCAAGCUUCAAGGAUCCCAACGAAAAUCAUCCAUUCUCAUCUUCCAUCCACGGUUAAAUAAGCGGAGUUGUGGAUUUCAGAAGAAGUUGUACCAAAAUGGAACUAAUUGGAGUUAUCGACAAAGGACGAAAAGUCAUGAGUGGUCAAACAUGGUCAACUCGAGCGAGGAGGUGGAAACCGAUCACCCUAAGAUAAUUUUGCGGAGGUGCCUCAAGACCGAAGCAAAAGAAAGAAAGAAAGAAAAAUAGAAUAAUAAUAUGAGGGAUUAAUUAAGCAAUGUUUACUUAAUUAAACAAAUGUUUAAUUAUUUAGACAUUUGUUAUGCAUGGUGGCAUGUGGUCACGUGGAUGAUAGGCACUAGCUUAAUUAACCAUUUUGGUUGAUUAAGCAAUUCAAGCAUCAGGUGUGCUUCCUCCUUUCCCUUCUAUCCGGUUUCUUUCUCUCUAAAGCCAACCACACGGUGACACUUGGAAAGCAAUAUCUCCCUCUAGCCCAUCGUCAGCCGCUCAUCCACUAUUCAACCCACUCUCCCCUCUCUGCAUAUAUAUAGACCACGACCUACUCCCUAUCUUUAGCUCUCAACCUCCACGGCCGCACACCCCAGGGCCCAGACCCCAUUUUUCCUUCCUCUCUUCAACAGCACCGCAACUCACCCACUCUCCCAUUUUCCCUCACUCUUCCACAUUAAAGUAUUGGGCUCUUCUCAAAUUUCAUCAAGAAAGAUCAUCAAGACCUUAAUUUCAUCUUGGGUAGUUAGGAGGAUUCAAGCUAGCUUAGUUUUCUUUGCUUUCUAGCAUUGUUGAAAUUAAGUAAAGUUUAUCCUCUCUCUUCUCAUCUAUUUUAAUUGUACAUGGUUUUGAUGUUAAAUCUUGUUUUAAUUAUGAGUGAGUAGUUUAAUUUUGGGAGUUAGGGUUGUGAAGCCCUAACUCAUCUUGUAUAAAUAUUGAUGCUUUAAUUUUAAUAAAUGCAAUUUUCA